rnacentral:rRNA from 1 species
UACGUAGGGGGCAAGCGUUGUCCGGGAUUAUUGGGCGUAAAGAGCUCGUAGGCGGUUUGUUGCGUCGGCUGUGAAAUCCCGAGGCUCAACCUCGGGUCUGCAGUCGAUACGAGCAAACUAGAGUGUUGCAGGGGAGACUGGAAUUCCUGGUGUAGCGGUGAAAUGCGCAGAUAUCAGGAGGAACACCGGUGGCGAAGGCGGGUCGCUGGGCAACAACUGACGCUGAGGAGCGAAAGCGUGGGGAGCGAACAGG